UUUUUUCUUCCUUAUGAAAGAUUAUUCUUUAAUCUAGAUUAUUUUUCUAAAAAAAGACUUCAAUUAAGAUUUCAAUAUUUGAGAAUAUUUCAAUGGGUUCAAAAUAAAACUCCAACAUCAGAACCUUGACAUAUACUUACUCUGUUUUAUAUUAUUUGGCUAUUAUUGAUGCCAAUUAGGCGUGGAAGUUUAUAAAUUGUGAUUUCAAUUAUUUCGAAUGUGGAUACUUAAUAUUCCUACUAAGGGUAGCAAAAAAAAAAGGAAAGAAGGAAAUUGUUUUUAAUUUUUAAAAUUAGACAAGCAAAAUGAAAUAUUUAUUUCCUCUUUAAUUUUUAAAAUUGAACGAGUAAAACGAAACAUUUAUUUUUACAAGACACGGGUUCUAAUUUGCCCAUUUAUAAAACCUGUUCAAUUUGCACAUGUCGGAUUCUAAUUAAUGUACUUGUUUAAGGAUAAUUAAGAUGGAUGUUGUUACCUAAUUAUUACUCAUUCGAAUGUUAGGUCAGCUUAGACUACAGUCAGAAAAAAAGGACAAAUAAAUGAUUUUGAAUGUAUUGUAAAAUUUUAUAAUGUAUUUUGGAAUAAACUAUUUCUUAAUAGAUUAAUUGGAAAAAUUUUACCAUGCAUAGGCACAAGUAUGAUGUGGCAGACAAAAAUUGUAUAAGGCCCAUUUAUAUUUUGCCAAGUGGAUCCAUUUCAGAAAAAUGGCCAAAUUCAUCUUUCUCACUCUACCUUUUAACGUUUUCUUUUUCUCUUUCUUACUUUUUUCCUUUAGUUUCUUUUCUAACAAUUCUUCCAAAUUUUAUAUUUCCACUUAAAUAACUUUAUUCAUGAAAAAUAUGAAAUACAAAAAAUCUUGCCGGAUUCAUUCUAUUUCUAACAUUUUGAUAUUAUUUUUUAUCUCAAUAUUGAUUAUUUAUAUUAUUAAAAAUAGUUAUAUAAAAUUAUUUGUUUAUUUACAAAGAUAUAAUUAAUUUCAAUUUUUCUAUUUUAUUAUAACAAUUAAUUAUUUUUGAAAGUAUAAAUAAAAUUUAUAAAUUUACCAAAAAAAAUUAAGGUAUAAAUUAGUAAAACUAUUAUUCUAUUAUGAUUUCUUAAGAAAUUUGUAAAAGAAAAAGUAGAUUAUUAAUAUGAAAAAUAAAGAAGGUACAAAUUUAAUAAGUUAUUUUAUUUUUCUCUCAACAAUUUCAUAAUCCAAAAGCACUUCAAUCCACAAAAUACUCUUCAAUAAGUAAAUAUAACGGAAAGAACAUCAAUGAUCUUGACAAACAAUUGCAUAAGUUUUGAUACUAUUGUCAUGAAAUUCAAAAACGAAAAACAUCCAUAAACAUCAACACAAAUACAUAUUAUUUUCAUCAAUUUAUACGAUAUUUUUAUUCUUAAAUUCAAUCUAGGUGAAAUUUAAUAAAUAUUGUUUAUCUACUUUUCUUAUACAUUUCUUAAGAAAUUAUAAAUAUAAACAAUAGUUUUAAUAAUUUAUUCCUUAAUAGAAUUUUUGCAAUUUUACAAAAUUUAUUUUAUAAUUUAAAAAAAAUUAAUUGUUAGGAUUAAAAAAAUUACUUAUAUCUUGAUUUUAUAAACUAAAAAAUAAAUUUCAAACAACUAUUUAUUAUAAUAGAAUAAUUAACCUAGAAUAGAAAAAAUAAUAUUAAAAUAGUAAACUAAAAACUUAUAUAAUGAUCGUAAAAUUUAUAUUAAAAUUCAAUACGUAAAAAAAGAAAAGCAUAAACUAAUAAGAUCAGCAAAUAAAAUUCUUAAAAGAUUUGAUCAACUUAAUCUUAAAGAAGAAAAAAAUAUUAAAAAGAUUAAAACACAAUAUAUUGAACAAGGGGCAUAAAACCAAAAAAAUGACAAAAGGGACUUAAAAAUGUCCCCUUUAUUAGCUUGGCAAAUGGGUCGCAUCCAUAUCCAUUUGUCAAUCAAAUAAUGCCUCAUACAAGUAUGACAUGGCGUGCCUCAUAUAUAAUAAAUUUUUUGGAUCAAUUGUAUAGCAAAGAACUAAAACUACCAGGAAAAAAAAAUCAUGAUGUGAAAGGUUGAUUUAGACGUGUUCACAUUGAACUUUAUUUGAUUCAUUUGUUAACCACUGAUUCUAUUUUUAACUUCUCGAUUCAAUCUAUUCAUUUGACGCCCAUAGAAUUUUUAGUAGGCCUAUCAAUUUAAAAUUGCUUGAAGUUGUUCUAUCUUGUUGGCUGUGUUUUGAUGACUUAUAACAUGAGAUAAAAACCCAGCUCUAAUUAGUGUGUCGACUUCAGAACUGAUAAAACUCAAUAUUGAGCAUGAAGAUCCACCAUUAAUGGUGGAUUCUAGCACAUACUGAUUCAGUCAGUUAGAGAGGAUCAAUUGAGAAGAUAGACUUUUCUCAUUUCUGAAUGAUAAAAUCAACUGUAAACUGCAUACAAUGUGUCACAUUUAUACAACUUGAUAGAAUCUAGAAAGUUCCUAAUCAAAGCAUAAACGGAAAUCUAACUAACUAACAAAAUCUGUUAACUAACUAACUCUGUGAAACUUUACUGUUAAUUGACUAACUCUGUGAAGUUAACUGUUAACUAACUAACAUAAUUAAUCUCAACACCCCCCCUCAAGUUGGAAGUGAGGUAAUCACAGCCAACUUGUUCAGCAUAGCAGUAUGUUUGAUUCCAGUUAAGGCUUUUGUGAGAAUGUCGGCCAACUGAUCACAUGUGUUGAUGUGAUAAAGUGAAAUUAAGCCUUCUUGGAGCUUGGAUCUGACAAAAUGGCAAUCCACUUCAAUGUGUUUGGUCCUCUCGUGGAACACGGGUUUCUUGGCAAUAUGGAGAGCAGCCUGGCUAUCACAAUACACAGGGGAAGGACCAAUGGGAGGAACAGUUAACUCAGUAAACAAACGAUGCAGCCAAACUAGUUCGCCAACCACUUUUCUUAGUGACCUGUACUCAGCUUCUGCUGAUGACAAUGAAAUGGUGUCCUGUUUCUUGGAUUUCCAGCUGAUAGGACUGGUGCCCAGUAAAACAAUAUAGCCACUAACAGACCUCCUAGAAUCAGGGCAAGACGCCCAAUCAGAAUCACAGAAAGCCUGUAUACCAAAAUCAGGAGAAGCAGACAUAAAAAUACCCAAAGUAGGGUCUUUCUGAAGAUAUCUUAACAUAUGAAAUGCAGCUUUGAGGUGAGGUUCCCUUGGGUCUUGCAUGUAUUGACUCAAGUGUUGUACCCCAUAGGUGAUAUCAAGUCUAGUAUGAGUAAGAAAAUUUAACUUUCCAACCAAUUUUCUAUACAAAGUGGGAUCAGGCAAAGGUUCUCCUUCAUGAGCUUUGAGUUUAACGGUAGGAUCCAGGGGAGAUGUUACAGGAGUGAGACCAUUAACAUGAAAUUCUUUAAGGAGGUCCUGAACAAAUUUCCUUUGGGAUAUGAGUAUUCCAUCAUUCUUGUACAGAAUUUCUAAUCCUAGAAAAUAGUGCAGCUUACCAAGGUCCUUGAUUUUGAACUGAUCAUUGAGGAAACUUUUGAGACUAGUGAUUUCCUCAGUAUCUGUUCCUGUUAUAAGAAUGUCAUCCACAUAGACCCCCAGGAAAACAGUAGAGUGCCCUUUUUUUCUAAAAAAUAAAGAGUAAUCAUGUAGUGAAUGAGUAUUUUCUUGGCAAUAUGGAGAGCAGCCUGGCUAUCACAAUACACAGGGGAAGGACCAAUGGGAGGAACAGUUAACUCAGUAAACAAACGAUGCAGCCAAACUAGUUCGCCAACCACUUUUCUUAGUGACCUGUACUCAGCUUCUGCUGAUGACAAUGAAAUGGUGUCCUGUUUCUUGGAUUUCCAGCUGAUAGGACUGGUGCCCAGUAAAACAAUAUAGCCACUAACAGACCUCCUAGAAUCAGGGCAAGACGCCCAAUCAGAAUCACAGAAAGCCUGUAUACCAAAAUCAGGAGAAGCAGACAUAAAAAUACCCAAAGUAGGGUCUUUCUGAAGAUAUCUUAACAUAUGAAAUGCAGCUUUGAGGUGAGGUUCCCUUGGGUCUUGCAUGUAUUGACUCAAGUGUUGUACCCCAUAGGUGAUAUCAAGUCUAGUAUGAGUAAGAAAAUUUAACUUUCCAACCAAUUUUCUAUACAAAGUGGGAUCAGGCAAAGGUUCUCCUUCAUGAGCUUUGAGUUUAACGGUAGGAUCCAGGGGAGAUGUUACAGGAGUGAGACCAUUAACAUGAAAUUCUUUAAGGAGGUCCUGAACAAAUUUCCUUUGGGAUAUGAGUAUUCCAUCAUUCUUGUACAGAAUUUCUAAUCCUAGAAAAUAGUGCAGCUUACCAAGGUCCUUGAUUUUGAACUGAUCAUUGAGGAAAUUUUUUAGACUAGUGAUUUCCUCAGUAUUUGUUCCUGUUAUAAGAAUGUCAUCCACAUAGACCCCCAGGAAAACAGUAGAGUGCCCUUUUUUUCUAAACAAUAAAGAGUAAUCAUGUAGUGAAUGAGUAUAACCCCUUGAGUUGAGAGCUGCAGUCAAUUUCUCAUACCAUUGUCGACUUGCUUGUUUCAAUCCAUAGAGUGACUUAUUGAGCUUGCAAACCAAACCUGUAUGUGGCACAUCAAGACCUGGAGGUACAUCCAUAUAGACUUCCUCAUUUAAAUCUCCAUGGAGGAAAGCAUUAUUCACAUCAAGUUGGUAUAUGCUCCACUGUUUCUUAGCAGCAAUGGCAAUCAAAACCCGUACAGUUGUCAUCUUAACGACUGGAGAGAAUGUUUCUGUAUAAUCUAUGCCAUGAUGUUGAGUGUACCCUUUUACCACUAGCCUUGCCUUAUACCUUUCUACACUUCCAUCAGCCUUAUGCUUAACUUUAUAAACCCACCUACAACCAACAGAUUUCUUACCAAUAGGCAGAGGCAUGAGAGACCAAGUGUUAUUAUCAUGCAGAGCAGUAAACUCUUGGGUCAUAGCUGUUUGCCAAGCAGGAUCAAGAGCUGCCUCUUCAUAACUGGAUGGCUCACAAUCAUUAGUGAUAUUUAAAGCAAAAACCUGACUGUCAGGAUCUAGAUCUUCAGGAGAUAUGUGGUGAUAUAGAGAAAAACAGGCAGUUAGGGAAGAAGGAUUUAAUGUGGAUUGUUUUGUGUUAGGUGCAGUGCAAACAUAAUCAGAUAGAUAUGAAGGCAAUUUAUGUGCUCGAUUAGAUUUUCUGGUUUCAACAUUGUGUUGUUGGACCGGUUGUGAAGGUGAAAGUGUGGUAGGUUGAGAAGAUGUGGGAGUGUCAAUGAGAGAAUGGGAAGAUGAACAUGGAGGUUCAGGAGACAUUGGAGGAUUUGUGUUACAUGACAUGCUUUGAUCACACUGGACAGGAGAAUUAGAUGAGGAGUAAGAAGCGGGGUCAACAAAAAAUGGAGAUUGAAUAGGAGAGGAAGGAAAAGAAGUAGGAUCUGCAGAUAAAGCAAAAGGGAAAAUUGUUUCAUGAAAGGUCACAUCUCUAGAGACAUACAACUUCUUAGUGGCCAGACUCAUUACCUUGUAUCCUUUUGUGCCAAAGGGGUAUCCAACAAAAACAUGUGGAGAUGUCCUAGGGUCGAACUUAGAUCUUUGUGAUUUAGGGAUGGUUGGGUAACAUAGGCAUCCAAAACUUCUCAGGUGUGAGUAAAGAGGCUUCUGGUUAUAUAACAACUCAUAAGGGCAUUUAUUUUUAAGGGGUGUUGAAGGCAGUCGAUUGAUGAUGUAUGUAGCAGCUAAUAUACACUCACCCCAAUAUUUUGUUGGUAAUUUGGACUGAAAAAGAAGUGCCCUGGCAGUUUCAAGUAUGUAUUUGUGUUUUCUUUCCACCACACCAUUUUGUUGAGGUGUGUAUGGACAGGAUUUUUGGUGAUGAAUGCCUUUGGAUUGGAAGAAUAGGAUGGACUCAGUAUUGGUGAACUCAAGACCAUUGUCUGAUCUGAUUACCUUUAUGGUGGUUUUGAAUUGGUUCUCAACCAUAUUGGUGAAGGCUUUAAUAACAUGUAGAGCAUUGCUUUUGUGACUGAGUAGGUGUGUCCAAGUUGACCUACUGUAGUCAUCUACAAAGGUAAUAAAGAAUCUAAAUUUAUCGUGUGUGGGUAUUUGGUAUGGUCCCCACAAAUCAACAUGCACUAAUUCAAAUAUAGUAGAGCUUCUGUGAAUACUUGGCUGAAAAGGUAGUUUGGUUUGUCUUGCCAUAGGACAAAUGGGACAAAGGAAAGGUUGUUUGGGAGAGAAGUCCACAGGGAUUGAUGGUAUACCUUUCAUUUUUACAAAAGGAACAUGGCCGAGUCUAUAAUGCCACAAGAGGUCUGUACUGUCAGGCUUUAAUAAACUAGAACCAACACUCACAUCAGCUGAAACAACAUUGUUCUUAUUAUCAGAUAAGGAGUUCAAUACAUUUUGAUGAAGUGAACAAGAAUGGGAAUUACAUUUGCAACACAUUUUAUCAUGUCUAUGAAGGGAAAAACAAGAAACAGGAUCCUUUGUUGAGGUAGGAUGAUUACUCUUUUGGAGACAGUUGGAGCACAAGAGAUACAAGCCAUCAUGCACUUUACCAACUUCCAGAGGCCUCUUCAGUGAAGGGGCCUGCAGAAGACAAGAGGUGUUAGUGAAAAAACAAUACACUUGAGGUGCACUGUUAGAGAGUUGACUGAAAUCAAGUUAUAUUGGAAAGAAGGGAUGAACAAAACAUUGUACAGUGUGAUCUGUGGUGUCAGCUGCACAUUUCCAACUUCUGUGACCUUAACCUUGUAUCCAUUAGGUAGUCUAACUAAUAAGGGAUAUGGUAGUGUAAACACAUUUGUGAGGUGAUGCUUGAUAAAGGUCAUAUGGUGUGAUGCUCCUGAAUCUAUAAUCCACAGGUCAGGUUUUGUUUUAUAACAUUCACAUGAGAGUUUGUCAAAAGUUACAGAAGAGGUACAAGCAGUGAUACCUGCAAAGUUCACCGCUGAAUUAGUCAUAUUGCCAGAGUUCUCUGUUGUAUUGAGUGUUUGAAACUGAUGGAGUAGAUAAGCAAGUUGAUCACAUUGUUCCUUAGAGAUGCCAAUAUUUGAGCUGUCUUGAUUGUUGACUUGAUUUUCAGAUCCAUUCCCCUGUUCCAUAUUGAGACCACAAGAUAAUCCUGCAGAGUUAGCUACCACACCUUUACCUUUGUUGUUGUACCUGUAACCAUUAUUUGCUUGCCCAUAAUUUUGUUGCCUGUGGGAUUGAUUGUAAUCUGGUUGUCCAUAGUUCUGUGGUCUUUGAGAUCUAUUGUUCCCAUUGUAGGAAUUCUGUGGGUAUCCAUGUAGCUUAUAACAUUUUUCUUUGAUGUGACCUGGUCUCUUACAGUGAUCACAGAAAGGUCUGCCUCUGUGAGAAGAAGAAGAAGAGUAAUUGGGUUUGAAAGCCCUACUUCCUGAAGUGCCUGAAGUAUUAGCAGCAAAAAUGCCUCCUGACGAUGUGCCUGAAGUACUAGCAUGAAGAGAACUGGAUUCAGCAAACAAUUGAUUAUUUGGCUUAAACUCUCGUUGUUUCUCUUCCUGAAUCAAUAGGGCGAAAGCUUGUGCCAUUGAUGGAAGAGGAUUCAUCAUUAAUAUGUUUCCUCUGAUUAUUGUGUAAACUUCGUUUAAUCCCAUGAGAAAUUGAAUUAACCUCCUAUCCUGUUCGACUUUGUGCAUAAGAUCCUUUGCUCCACAAGUACAUGCACAUUUGCAGUGACUCUUUAUGCAUAAACUGCUCAAUUCCUCCCAAAGUUUCUUCAUCCUAGUGUAGUAAGUUGUGAUAUCCAAAACGCCUUGAACGAGAUCAUUGAUUUCCUUUUGAAUCUGAUAUAACUUGGCACCAUUAGUCUGAUCAUAACGAUCUUCCAAAUCAUUCCAUAGUUCCAAAGCAUUGUCUACGUAUUCGACACUAUCAGCAAUAUCUCUGCUUACCUAAGUAUACCUCUUCUCCAGGAUCGAUAUCCAAUCCCAUCGAAAGGAACUGGUACAAGAGAAGCACCUGGACUAUCAGAUGGAUGUAGGUACAAAACACUACCUACUUCAAUCGUUUUAGUAACCCCUAGAUCAGUGACUUCCACCAUUGUAACAGAUCAGGAAAAAAAAAUUGAAGAAGCGAACAGUGAAGAAGGCGACGAACAGCAACGAGAGAGAGAAAAAAAAAAAAUUUGAUGCGAUCGGAGGAACCUGAAACAACUGGAGCAGCGAUUCUUCAACAAAGAGAUGAGAAAAUCAGGGAUGAUCGAUUCCUUGCUUUGAUACCAUGAUAAAACUCAAUAUUGAGCAUGAAGAUCCACCAUUAAUGGUGGAUUCUAGCACAUACUGAUUCAGUCAGUUAGAGAGGAUCAAUUGAGAAGAUAGACUUUUCUCAUUUCUGAAUGAUAAAAUCAACUGUAAACUGCAUACAAUGUGUCACAUUUAUACAACUUGAUAGAAUCUAGAAAGUUCCUAAUCAAAGCAUAAACGGAAAUCUAACUAACUAACAAAAUCUGUUAACUAACUAACUCUGUGAAACUUUACUGUUAAUUGACUAACUCUGUGAAGUUAACUGUUAACUAACUAACAUAAUUAAUCUCAACAAGAACAUCUUGUAAUUUUAAAUAAAUUAAUUUAAAAAAUUCUCACUUGAGAACUAUUUAUUUGCACUAAGGGUGUGCAUUCGAUUUUUCGGUUUGGUUUUACACUAUUCGAUUUGGAUUUUCGGUUUUGUAAAAGUGUAACCCAAUCCGAUCAAAAAUAAAUUUGGUUUGGUUUGGUUUUCCUCUAUUCGGUUUGGUUAUUCGGUUAUGUCAAUAAUUAAUAACAUAUAUAACCUAUAACCAAAGUAAUAAUAUUUAAUCCCUUAAAUAUUCUUUCUAAUAUAAAUCAUAAGUAAAACUUAAAACACAAUACUUAUAAGUAUACCUAUUAUAGAUGUUCAAGCAUAAAAUAUAAAUGUAAUCAUCGUGAAAGGCAAUAACCAAAAAGGGACAAAAGUGGUUAACUCCAACUUAAUUCUAAAACUAAACAUUAUAUAUAUAUAUAAUUCGGUUUUUUGGUUUUUAUUUUUUAAAAUCCGAAACCAAACCAAAAAACCAAACAAAGUAAUUUAUUAAUCCAAAACCAAUCCAAAANNNNNNNNNNNNNNNNNNNNNNNNNNNNNNNNNNNNNNNNNNNNNNNNNNNNNNNNNNNNNNNNNNNNNNNNNNNNNNNNNNNNNNNNNNNNNNNNNNNNNNNNNNNNNNNNNNNNNNNNNNNNNNNNNNNNNNNNNNNNNNNNNNNNNNNNNNNNNNNNNNNNNNNNNNNNNNNNNNNNNNNNNNNNNNNNNNNNNNNNNNNNNNNNNNNNNNNNNNNNNNNNNNNNNNNNNNNNNNNNNNNNNNNNNNNNNNNNNNNNNNNNNNNNNNNNNNNNNNNNNNNNNNNNNNNNNNNNNNNNNNNNNNNNNNNNNNNNNNNNNNNNNNNNNNNNNNNNNNNNNNNNNNNNNNNNNNNNNNNNNNNNNNNNNNNNNNNNNNNNNNNNNNNNNNNNNNNNNNNNNNNNNNNNNNNNNNNNNNNNNNNNNNNNNNNNNNNNNNNNNNNNNNNNNNNNNNNNNNNNNNNNNNNNNNNNNNNNNNNNNNNNNNNNNNNNNNNNNNNNNNNNNNNNNNNNNNNNNNNNNNNNNNNNNNNNNNNNNNNNNNNNNNNNNNNNNNNNNNNNNNNNNNNNNNNNNNNNNNNNNNNNNNNNNNNNNNNNNNNNNNNNNNNNNNNNNNNNNNNNNNNNNNNNNNNNNNNNNNNNNNNNNNNNNNNNNNNNNNNNNNNNNNNNNNNNNNNNNNNNNNNNNNNNNNNNNNNNNNNNNNNNNNNNNNNNNNNNNNNNNNNNNNNNNNNNNNNNNNNNNNNNNNNNNNNNNNNNNNNNNNNNNNNNNNNNNNNNNNNNNNNNNNNNNNNNNNNNNNNNNNNNNNNNNNNNNNNNNNNNNNNNNNNNNNNNNNNNNNNNNNNNNNNNNNNNNNNNNNNNNNNNNNNNNNNNNNNNNNNNNNNNNNNNNNNNNNNNNNNUUCGGUUUGGUUAUUCGGUUAUGUCAAUAAUUAAUAACAUAUAUAACCUAUAACCAAAGUAAUAAUAUUUAAUCCCUUAAAUAUUCUUUCUAAUAUAAAUCAUAAGUAAAACUUAAAACGCAAUACUUAUAAGUAUACCUAUUAUAGAUGUAAUUCAAACAUAAAAUAUAAACGUAAUCAUCAUGAAAGACAAUAACCAAAAAGGGACAAAAGUGGUUAACUCUAACUUAAUUCUAAACCUAAUUUUUUCGGUUUUUAUUUUUUAAAAUCCGAAACCAAACCAAAAACCCAAAUAAAGUAAUUUAUUAAUCCAAAACCAAUCCGAAAAUCCAAAAAACCAAUCUAAAUAAAAAUUCGGUUUGAAUUGAUUUAGUUAUUCGGUUUAAUCCGAAUAGUACACACCCCUAAUUUGCACAGUUAUUGUGGCAUUUAUCUUUUAUAUAUUUCGAAUUAGACAUGUAAGUCAAGUUAUCGACUAAAAAAAACAACAAAUUUGGGUCACUGUUUGUCACUCUUUGACCAAAUGUUGAAAGUUUACACGACUAAAAUAAUAUAAAUAUAUUAUUAUUUCAUAUAUUAAGGUUUAAGGAACACUAUUUUGUGUACACUAAGCAAACAUGUGUGCCAACUUGCCAACGAGUGAAAUCCAUUAUAAAUAUUUUUCUCACGUUACAACAGCAGAUAUCAACACCAAAAAUAUGUAAAAAAAAACACAAGAUCCAUAAGGGAAUAAUAUUUUUAAAAAUCUAAAUUGUAAGUGGGAAUGAAUAAUAAAUAUAAUAACAAUUCUCGUCAUUUUAGGGCAUAAUAAUUUUUAGAAUAGGAAUAUAUUAAAGGAAUCCACAUAACUAAAACACCAUAUAAUAUCCAUUAGGAUAGAGUGAGACCACCCUUGAACUUUCCACUUCUUUUGGUUUCCCACAUUAUUAAUCCAGUACCUAUUUUGAAGUCUGAUUAAUUCAGAUUCGCACGAAAAAGCUUUACUUUGGCAGUGAGCUUAUUUAAUCUACAUUCACACUAAAAAGCUUUACUUUGCUAGGUAAAUCUUUCUCUAUCUAAUCGAUUUCAUUUUCCAUUGCUCAAAACCCGAAAAAUCUGAUUAAAAAUAAAGAGUACCGACUACUCCAUUACCACCUUUGGUGGUAUGUAGUCUGUCAACUCAUCUUCUGGGAAUGGAUAACUCAUACUAUAAUAAAUUAAUAAUUCAUCACAUUCAUAUUGGACUCUCCUGCCCAACUUGCAAUUAUUUUUAUUUAUUUUAGAAAUUGCUCGUGACCAUUCCUUGGACCCUAUUCAAUGCGCGUUCUGUACACAAAUUUGUCAUUCUUGUUGUUACAUUAUCAUCUUUCCUUCUUUUCAAUUUAUUUUUCAUUCAUCAUUUUUGGUUUGUUUAUUAGAGUAAUGAUUCUCUUCAUUCAUGACUUUUAAGUACCUGCCCACUAACACACUAGCACGAAAAAAAAAGUGACUAUUGAAAGUAUUUGAAACGUGCACCCAUGGGUGUAGCCUAAUGGUCAGUAAAGUGGUUGAGAGCCCUUUAGGUCUCAGGUUCAAAUCUCAGCGGAGACAAAAAACACUAGGUAAUCUUUCCAUCUAUUCUAACCUUGGUGGGCAUGGUUACGUGGUACCUGUUGCUAGUGGGAGGUGGCAGGUAUCCCAUGGAACUAGUCGAGGUGCGUGAAAGCUGGCAUAGACAUCACCGUAAUAAAAAGAAGUAUUUGAAACCUAUACAAAACCAUUAGUUACAGCCUGUUGGCACUUUAUCAAGUACAUGGUUCAUCUAACAAUUUAAGUUGUAUCAAAGUGAAGUUACCCCUUUCCUCACAAUUCUAUCUAGCUUGCCCAACUCUGCUCUUGCUUCAGAAACCAAUUUCCCUUAUAAUAAAAAAAUAACAAACUGAACUUAACUUCUAGGAUACUUCAGUGAUCUGUCCAUGUGCUACUUCUAGAACAGCCGGAAAAAAAAAACAGUUGGCUCAAUGUAAUGUGAAUGCACAACUUGAGUUUACUAUCUAUUAGGUGGUCAGAAAGAUUUGACAUUUUUUAUGUACUCCUAGGUUUCGAGUAGGAGACGAAAUUCUUGUUGUCUUUUCUUGUGUGGGGGUACAUACAACUUGUUCUUUAACACGGAGCAUCCUAGAUUAGAGGCAUGCUUGGUAUUUUGUAACAAAUUCAUAGAAUGCAAGUCAUUUUCCUUGGUGUGAAUGGAUGACUAGUUGACUGCCACUGAAAGCAGUGAUUCACUGUACGAUUCACUAAGAAAUGUGUAUAAAGGCUUCAUUGUCAGCAUAAGUUUUUUCAGUGAGUGAAGCUUCUUUCUUUUGAAACAAUGAUGUCAAAGACAGUUGUAUAUGCAUUAGCCAUAUUUUCUAUUACCUUUCUCAUACCUCUGUCAUCUGGGCAACAUCCAAGCUUUGAAGUUGAAGUUGCUGCUUUGAAAGCUUUCAAGAGCUCAAUCUCUGACGACCCUUUCGGUGCACUUGUGGAUUGGACGGAUGCAAAUCACCAUUGCAACUGGUCUGGAAUCAUAUGUGAUCCUUCUUCAAGCCAUGUCAUCAACAUUUCGCUUAUUGAGACGCAGCUCAAAGGCGAAAUUUCUCCGUUUCUAGGAAACCUCUCCAAACUCCAGGUUCUUGAUCUAACUUUGAAUUCAUUUACUGGAAAUAUCCCACCCCAGCUGGGGUAUUGCACAGACCUGGUUGAGCUCGUUUUUUACCAAAACUCUCUUUUUGGUGAAAUUCCUGCCGAGCUGGGAAACCUAAAAAAACUGCAGUAUAUAGAUUUUGGAAAUAACUUUCUAAAUGGGAGUAUACCUGAUAGUAUAUGCAACUGCACUGAAUUGUCGUUAGUAGGCUUCAUCAACAACAAUCUCACAGGCAAAUUACCGUCUGAAAUUGGUAAGUUGGCCAAUCUUCAGUUGUUUGUAGCUUAUACAAACAAUUUGGUUGGUUCUAUUCCUACCUCCAUUGGAAUGCUUACAGCUUUGCAAACCCUUGAUCUGAGCGAAAACCAGUUAUCUGGACCUAUACCAUCAGCAAUUGGCAACUUGUCAAGUUUAGGAAUUCUUCAGUUACAUCUCAACUCUCUUUCUGGGAAAAUCCCAUCUGAACUUGGCCUCUGUAUCAAUCUUUUUACCUUGAACAUGUAUACUAAUCAAUUUACUGGAAGCAUACCUCCUGAGCUUGGAAAUUUAGAAAACUUGCAAGUGCUCAGAUUGCAUAACAAUAAGUUGAACUCCAGUAUACCUGCCUCAAUAUUCCACCUGAAGUCAUUAACUCAUUUAGGACUCUCACAGAAUGAACUAACUGGUAAUAUUCCUCCCGAGUUGGGAUCUUUAACGUCACUAGAAGUGCUUACCCUUCACUCAAAUAGGUUAUCGGGGGAGAUCCCAUCAACUAUAACAAACCUGGCAAACUUGACAUAUUUGUCUUUGGGCUUUAAUUUAUUGACUGGAUCACUUCCAUCGGAAUUUGGGUUACUCUAUAAUCUGAAAAAUCUAACUGCAAAUGAUAACCUCCUGGAAGGAUCUAUUCCAUCGAGCAUAACAAAUUGUUCUCAUCUUCUUGUUUUAACCCUCGCUUAUAAUAGAAUAGCGGGGAAAAUACCAAAUGGGUUGGGGCAAUUGUCCAAUCUUACAUUUUUGUCUUUGGGAUCAAACAAAAUGAUGGGGGAGAUUCCUGAUGAUCUCUUCAACUGUUCAAUGCUUGAAAUUCUAGAUCUGAGUGAUAACAAUUUCAGCGGGAAACUCAAAUCAAUGAUUGGCAGACUCUCUAAACUUCGAGUUUUAAGAGCUCGUACUAAUUCAUUUCUUGGGCCAAUCCCACCAGAGAUUGGUAAACUGAGUCAACUCGUGGAUUUAGUGCUUCACGAAAACAGUUUCUCAGGUGCGAUACCACCAGAAAUUUCAAUGCUUUCAAACCUUCAGGGUCUUUUGCUAUCUGACAACAAGCUGGAAGGUGAACUUCCUGUGCAGCUUUUUGAGCUCAAACAGCUCAAUGAACUCCGGCUGAAGAACAAUAAUUUCUUUGGUCCACUACCGCAACAUAUAUCCAAACUAGAAUCACUGUCGCUCAUGGAUCUGAGUGGAAAUAAGCUUAAUGGCACAAUCCCAGAGAGCAUGGCGAGCCUCCGCAGAUUGAUGACCGUAGAUCUUUCACACAACCUUCUUACCGGAACUAUUCCCAGAGCAGUACUUGCCAGCAUGAGAAGUAUGCAACUUUACUUGAACGUUUCCAGCAAUUUGUUGCACGGAGAGAUCCCAGAUGAGAUAGGCGUGUUAGAAAUGGUUCAAGAGAUUGACAUGUCAAAUAAUAAUCUGUCAGGCAGCAUUCCCAGAUCCCUAGAACGCUGCAAAAACUUAUUUUCACUGGACCUAUCAGGAAACAUGCUCUCUGGUCCUGCUCCAGGUGAAAUUUUCACCAAAUUAAGAGAGCUUGUGUUCUUGAACCUCUCAAGGAACAGAUUAGAAGGUAGUCUUCCUGAAAUAGCAGGAUUAUCACAUCUUCGCUCUCUUGAUGUUUCACAAAACAAGUUCAAUGGAAUCAUUCCCGAGAGAUUUGCCAAUAUGACUGCAUUGAAAUAUCUCAACCUUUCUUUCAACCAACUUGAAGGUCACAUUCCAAAGGGGGGUGUAUUCAACAAUAUAAGGUCGGAGGAUUUACUGGGAAAUCCAUCUCUAUGUGGAACAAAGUUUCUCAGUCCAUGCAACAUAAAAAGAAACCGAACAAGUUCUCAUGGUUUUUCCAAGAAAACCUGGAUCAUACUUGCAGCACUUGGAUCUGUUUUCAGUCUCAUUCUUCUUGUCCUGGGAAUAAUUUUAUUUCAUCGGUACAUGAAGAAGAAGAAAAAAGUGAAUGACGCGGAGGAUACAAAUCCAAAGUAUACCGCAGCAUUGAGCCUCCAGAGAUUUUAUCAAAAGGAUUUGGAACAUGCUACCAAUAAUUUCAGUCCGGAAAACAUUAUUGGAGCCAGCAGUUUAAGUACUGUGUACAAAGGUACACUGGAAGAUGGGAAGAUUGUAGCAGUUAAGAAGCUGAAUCACCAGUUCUCAGCAGAAUCUGGUAAAUGCUUUGAUAGGGAAGUCAAGACUCUGAGCCAACUCAGACACAGGAACCUAGUUAAGGUGCUAGGUUACGCUUGGGAAAGCAAGAAGCUAAGGGCUUUAGUUUUAGAAUACAUGGAGAAUGGGAACUUGGACAACAUGAUUUAUGGUCAAGUGGAGGAUGACUGGACGUUGUCCAAUAGGAUUGAUAUUUUAGUUUCAGUUGCAAGUGGACUGUCAUACCUGCAUUCAGGCUAUGAUUUUCCAAUAGUGCACUGCGACAUGAAGCCUUCAAAUAUUCUUCUGGAUAAAAAUAUGGAAGCACAUGUGAGUGACUUUGGGACAGCUAGGAUGUUGGGUAUUCAUCUCCAGGAUGGGAGCAGCAUAUCAUCAGCAUCCGCAUUUGAAGGAACUAUUGGUUACAUGGCGCCAGGUAAUAAUUCUUACAACUUCUUGACCCACACUUUACUAACUAGAUUAUGUGUUACAAUAGCAUGAAUACAAGAUGUCUACAAUGUAAACGAGCUUAUAUGGGUACCACAAAUAAUAUUUUGUCAAUGGUGAAUGUUUCAAAUACAUUCCAUUUUAGCAUCAUUCAGUAGUAACAUCACUUCUGUCAAUCACAAUAUGCAGCACAGCAGAUUUUUUUUUCCUUUCAAUCACAAAAUACUGAUUUAACUUUUAUGUGGAAGAAUAGACAAGCAAGUAAAUGAUGCAAUGUUUAGAACAUAUAAUCUGUAAAGUAUUAUUUUAAAUGAUAAUGUCAGUUUUAAUCUAUCCAAAAAUCUAGCGCCAGCUUUUACAUGCUCCUAAUUUAAUUUGAGACCUCACUUACAUGAAAUGUUAUCUAUGCAACAGAGUUUGCAUAUAUGAGGAAAGUGACCACAAAAGUAGAUGUAUUCAGCUUUGGUGUCAUUGUGAUGGAGAUCAUUACAAAAAGAAGGCCAACAAGUCUUACCGGAGCAGAUGAAUUACCAAUGACUUUGCAUCAAAUUGUUCAGAAUGCCCUUGCGAAUGGCAUAAACAAGCUAGUUCAGAUUGUGGAUCCUAAUCUAGCUUCAUAUGUCUCCAAGAAACAGGAUGUACUAGAGGGACUUCUUAACUUGGCUUUGUCCUGCACCUCUGCUGAUCCUGAAGAUAGACCUGACAUGGAACAAGUUCUGUCUUCUCUUUCAAAGCUAAGUAAGAUGGACUGCAUGCCUUCACAUUUGGUAAAAGAUUAAAUUUGAUGUAGAAGAAGCUGGAAUAUCAUCACUCUUAAAGUGAACCACCACCAAGUUUCUCAUGGGGCUAAUGGAACUAGUUCAUAACUUAAAAUGUAUUUACUAUUUAAAUAAAUUUUCCGUAUUUCAAGCCAUAAAUGAUCUCUCGAGUAUUCCUGCUUUACUAGAGAGAUAUAAUGGAACUGUCCCGUCAGAUUAUUUUGAAGUUGACAUGCAUCAUGAAAAUGAACAAAAUAUUCAACAAUACUUCACAUUAAUUACAACUAAGGAGCAAAAAGCUAGAUCUUUACGAAGUUCUCUAGUGACAUGUAAUAGAGUUAGUGAGCAAGCAGUUGAUUGCAAACCAAAGUGCUAAUGUAGUCUGUCACUAAAGAUUAUCUACAGCAAAUGAGUACACUUACGAACACACAUAUAUAGAAGUGAAACUGAGGAAAACUCAAUAAGGGCUUUAAUAAGCCUACAAUCAUCCAUCAUAUUUUACCUUGAAAUAUGCAUUCUAGAAAUUUAUUUACUAGAGAGGGAACACGCAACCUCAUCUAUUGGUGGAUCAUUAUGCAAGAACUCGUCAAUGGUAGAGGGAAACUCAAAGCUUCCAACACCAUCAAAAACCUCUGAAUGAAUAAGAGAAGCUUUGCCUAAAAGCAGAUGAGCUAACCUAAAUGAUUCUCUUCUCUCUCCAUUACUCCUAUCCAGAAAAUGCUCAAUCCAACCUUCUAACCUCUCCACUUCUUUUUCACUUUUUGGCCCUUUAACCCCAACAAUGUUUCCAUAAAAUGCAUCAUCACAGCCCAAAUCCACUUCCACACUUUUGGUUCCUCCCCUUUUACUGUCCGAUAUACCCAAUAGCUGCAUCAACAGUUCAAUGUCAUCAACCCCAUCACCACCAGUUUCAACUGUACCAACUCUUUCUUGAACUUGUGUAGGGUUUAUCUGAGGUGGGGUUUCUUGGGCAAGUGGGGAAUUAGAGAGAAAUUGAAGUGGGGUUUCACUUUCUUUGAGGUUUGUGUAGCUGGUGAUGGAGUCAACAGGGGUCUCACUCUCAUCACAGUUAAGGUAUAAUGGGCUGAUCAUAGACUGGGUCGGUGUGUCGACGGCUUCUUGUUGUGUUGGUUCAUCAAGUUUCAAUCUUUUCUCCAAUUGUUUGAGAGAAGAGAAGAAAUUUGAGUGUGGAGAAGGUCUUUGCAUGUUUGGGAGGAAAUCAGAAUGAAUGAUUUGGGGGUUUAGGGUUUUAGCUGUGAGUAAAGAAGGGAUUAAGAAAAAAGAGCGCCAAUUGGUGAGAAAAAACAGUUGAAUAAACGGCUGAAUAGCUACAAUAUUGCUCUACGUCUCCGUGAGUUGUGGUGAAAUAGUUGAAUUCGAGCCCCCAAUGAAAUAAAUCUGUUUGCAAGCAUUGCCCCUGCUGUAUUAGCAGGCUCUAAUAUUAGAGUUGAUAAUUUCCUUAUUAUUUAUUUUAUAACUAGUAAAAUUAUUCGCGUUUUGUGCGGGAAUUUAAUAUCACAAAAUUUAUAAAAUAAUAUUUAAAACAUAUCAGUCAUUAAAAAAAAAUCACUAUAUUAUCUUAUAUACAAGAUUACGUAGUAACGAACAUUAAUAAUGUAAGGGAAAAUGAUAAUUAUAACAUUUUAUCAUUUAUCCUUCAAUCAAUCAUCCUUUUGCCUCCGGGAAGUGUUACUAUUUGAUAUUUUUGGAAAAUUAAAUGAACAUCAAUAUGAGAUAUUAAAUUUUAAUUGUGCAGAAGAAGAAGAAAUUCAAAAUUUCCGUUGUUUUAAAAUGAGAAAAAAUCCCUCUAUUCAUAGACAACAAAUGGUAGUGUGAACAAAUACUUAUUGUGCCUUAUCGAAAAUGUCACAACUCUUUGGAAAAGUUACAACCCUUCGGAAAGAUCACAACCUUUCAUAAAAAUAACAUUUUUUCAUAAAAGUCGCAACUCUUUAUAAAAGUCACAAUUUUUCACAGAAGACACAUUUUUUCAUGAAAGUGGAGGGCUAUUUUGAAAAUAAAUAAAUUUAAAAGGAAAUUCUAACUUGUGGUGGCGCCACGUAGGCGGACCUAUGGUUAUAUAUAUCGAAGGAAUUAGUUUUCUCAAAUUUAUUUUUGGAGGACAAUAAAGGAUUGAAUAACAUAUGUUGUGAUUUGUGAACAUGGAUAGUCCAAAUAGUGCUUAUGGUUAUGGACAAGUAGUCCAGCCAAACUGUUGGGCCUGUGGUACGAAACUAAAGGGACAAUUAAUCAAAAUGGCCAAUUGGUGAUAAUUCUCUCUUCUAGCAUCUUCAAAGCUCAAAUUUUAAAAUUAAUAUGCCGCAAACGUGGAUCACUUUGAAUAAAUAGUAUACCAAAAGACUCAAAACAUUGAGAUAAAUUCAUAUCUAAAAUUUGAGAUUGUUUAGAGGAAAUUUGAAAUGGUUGAGAUUGAGAAAAUAAUUGGUCUACAAUAUAUACUUCAUUGUCUCAACAAUGUAUAUAGAUGUAUAUAUCUCUCUCUAAUAUAUAGUUAUACAUCAUUCAUACAUGAGUAUACACUAUUUAUACAAUAUCGAUACAUUACAUAUACAUUUGUUGAUUUUUUGUUGUUGUCCGUACAUAUAUUGCUAAUUUUGGGUUAUUUUAUUAAUGUAAAUGAAAACUUGGCUACAUUUGAAACUACUUUUUAUUUUACCCAAAACUAAAAAUCUGAAAAAGAAAUUUUUUCGCAGGAACGGUUGGUUUAUUAGGUCUGCUCACACCUAUAUUGAUUCAUCACUCAAUUUGAUCUAAGUGAUCUUUGGACGAAAUGUAUCAUAAUUCUUUUAUUGAAUCAUUAUUUUUUAACCUUCUAAACUCGCCCUGUUCAUUUGAAGCUCCUUAUAAUUUUCUUCCAAUUUUAAAUUGCAUGAAGUUGUUUAUCUCGCUAUGCUUAUUUAAUUUCUUGGUAAAUAACAAAAUUAUCCUUAUGUUAUUGCGUUAUUCCAAGUUUUAGCCCUUAUGUUAUUCAUUUGAGCACAAUAAACCUUUGAUUAACAAAAACAUGUGAUAUUGGUUUUUUAAAUUAAUAGAAGUUAAAAAUUUAAAAGAAUUAAUAUUUGAAAAGUUUGAAAGAUCAAUAUCACAUAUUUUAAUUAAUUAAAAACUAAAUAUGCUCAGUGGUAUAACGCAAAGGACUAAAGUGGAUAUUCACCUUUAUUUUCUUGAUCAACUCAAGCUAAUGAUAUCUAUUAUCUAGUAGCAAUAUUGACUGAGAUUUGGCGACUUACAACAUGAGACUAUAAUUGGCGUGUUGACUACAAAACAAGUUAAUUAUGAUUAGUCAAGUUUAAUUAUUUUCAAAUAGAACCCACUUAUUUGCAUACUUUUUGCCACAUUCAUCUCUUAGAGGUCAGAUAAAAAUUGUGUGUACAUAAUCUAUUCAAACAUGUUGACAACUAAAAAAAUGAUAAAUUUGGGUGGCUGUUUGUCUCUCUUUGACCUAAUGUUCAAAGUAUACACGAGUGAAUGACAAAUGAUAAAAUAGAUUUAAACAUAUUACUUUAUUAGUUCAUAUAGAAGGUUUAGGUACACUGUUAAAUCAACGAUGAUUUCAUUUUGAACAAUAGUUUCAGGAAUAAGACUUUAUAUUAUUCAAUCUAUUAGGAACACAGGCGGAUCUAAGAAUUCUAUUAAAAAAAGAGAGGAAAAAAUACAUAUAUUAAGUGAUAAUUGAUCCUUGGGCGAUUAACUCAACAUUCAAUCAAGUGUACCAUUUAGCCUUAUUGGAGCAUGAGUGUGAUUAGAUAGUAUUAGAUCAAUUCUAGAAUAUAUGUACAUAAAACGACUAGUUUGAUGAAAAGAUCAUAGGUUCACGUGCACCAUAAAUAGGCUAUAAAUUCACCUCUGAUUGGGAAAUGACCACCGCUGAAUGUCAUCUUUCAGCUUGUCUAACUCUGCUGUUUCUCUAGAAAAGAAACAACUGAAAUGAACUUAUACAAUAUUUCUGCUCCAUAUGGCAGUUCUAGAAAAAAUAAUAGUAAUAAUAAAAACAGUUGACAUGAUGUAAUGUGAAUGCACUCAAUUUUCAAACAAUAUGAUCAGUUUUUGUAGGAAUUUCUGACAAAUUCAUAGAAUACAAGUCAUUGUACUUAGUUUUGAUGACUAGUUGACUUCUUCAACAGAAAACAGUAAGCAAAUAUCAUUAAUAAUUGUAUAAACUAUUCAUUUUCAGCUUAAGUUUGUAAAGAGAGUGAAGCUUCUUUCUUUUGAACCAAUGAUGUCAAAGACCACUGUAUAUGCAUUAGCCAUUUUUUUUAGUUCCUUUUUCAUAGCUUUGUCCUUUGGGGAAACUCCAAGCUUGGAAGUUGAAGUUGCUGCUUUGAAAGCUUUCAAGAACUCAAUCACUGAUGACCCUUUUGGUGCACUUGUGGAUUGGACUGAUGCAAAUCACAUUUGCAACUGGUCUGGAAUCAUAUGUGAUCCUUCUUCAAACCAUGUCAUCAACAUUUCGCUUAUUGGGAUGCAGCUCAAAGGCGAGAUUUCUCCGUUUCUAGGAGACCUCUCCAAACUCCAGGUUCUUGAUCUAACUUUGAAUUCAUUUACUGGAAAUAUCCCAGCCAAGCUGGGGCAUUGCACUGAGCUGGUUCAGCUCAUUCUUUACCGAAACUUUCUUUCUGGUGAAAUUCCUACCGAGCUAGGAAACCUCAAAAACCUGCAAUUAUUAAAUUUUGGAAAUAACUCUUUGAGUGGGAGAAUACCUGAGAGUAUAUGCAACUGCACUGAAUUGUUGUUAGUAAGCCUCAUCAACAACAGCCUCACAGGCAAAUUACCAUCUGAAAUUGGUAAUUUGGUCAAUCUUCAAUUGUUUGAAGCUUAUAGAAACAAUUUGGUUGGUUCUAUUCCUACCUCCAUUGGAAUGCUGACAGCUCUGCAAACCCUUGAUCUGAGCUCAAACCAGUUUUCUGGACCUAUACCACCAGAAAUUGGCAACUUGUCAAGUUUAGAAACUCUUCAGUUGCAUCACAACUUUCUUUCUGGGAAAAUCCCAUCUGAACUUGGCCUCUGUAUCAAUCUUGUUACCUUGGACAUGUAUAAUAACCAAUUCACUGGAGGCGUACCUCCUGAGCUAGGAAAUUUAGAAAAUUUGCACAGGCUCAGAUUGUAUAACAAUAAGUUGAACUCCAGUAUACCUGCCUCAUUGUUCCACCUGAAGUCAUUAACUCAUUUAGGACUCUCACAUAAUGAGCAAACUGGUAAAAUUCCUCCUGAGUUUGGAUCUUUAAUGUCACUACAAGUGCUUACCCUCCACUCAAAUAGGUUGUAUGGGGAGAUUCCAUCAACUUUGACAAACCUGGCAAACUUGACAUAUUUGUCUUUGAGCUUUAAUUUAUUGACAGGAUCACUUCCACCGGAACUUGGGUUACUCUAUAAUCUGAAGAAUCUAACUGCAAGUAAUAACCUCCUAGAGGGACCUAUUCCAUCUAGCAUAACAAAUUGUUCUCAUCUUCGUGUUUUAACCCUCACCUUUAAUAGAAUAACAGGUAAAAUACCAAAUGGGUUGGGGAAGUUGUCCAAUCUUACAUUUUUGUCUUUGGGAUCAAACAAAAUGUUGGGGGAGAUUCCUGAUGAUAUCUUCAACUGUUCAAUGCUUGAAGUUCUAGAUCUGAGUGGUAAUAAUUUUAGCGGGAAGCUCAAACCGAUGAUUGGCAGACUCUCUAAACUUCGAGUUCUAAGAGCUCAUAGUAAUUCAUUUCUUGGGCCAAUCCCACCAGAGAUUGGUAAACUGAGUCAACUGAUAGAUUUAGUGCUUCACAAAAACAGUUUCUCAGGUGUGAUACCACCAGAACUUUCAAAGCUUUCAAACCUCCAGGGCCUUUCUCUGUCAGACAAUAAGCUGGAAGGUGAACUUCCUGUGCAACUUUUUGAGCUUACACGCCUCUAUGAACUCCUGCUGCAGAACAAUAAUUUCUUCGGUCCAAUCCCCAAUCAGAUAUCCAAAUUAGAAUCACUUUCACUCCUGGACCUGAGUGGAAAUAAGCUUAACGGUACAAUCCCAGAGAGCAUGGUGAGCCUCCGCAGACUGACGACCUUAGAUGUUUCACACAACCUUCUAACCGGAACUCUUUCCAGAGCAGUACUUGCCAGCAUGAGAAGUAUGCAAUUUUACUUGAACGUUUCCAGCAACUUGUUGGAUGGAGAGAUCCCAUAUGAGAUUGGCAUGUUAGAAAUGGUUCAAGGGAUUGAUAUGUCAAACAACAAUCUAUCAGGCAACAUUCCCAGAUCCCUAGGACUCUGCAAAAACUUAUUCUCACUAGACCUAUCAGGAAACAUGCUGUCUGGUCCUGCUCCAGGCGAAACUCUGACCAAAUUAAGUGAGCUACUAUUCUUGAACCUCUCAAGGAACAGAUUAGAAGGCAAACUUCCUGACAUGGAAGGAUUGCCACAUCUUCGCUCACUUGAUCUUUCACAAAACAAGUUCAAGGGAAUCAUUCCUGAGAGAUUUGCCAAUAUGCCUGCAUUAAUAUAUCUCAACCUUUCUUUUAACCAGCUUGAAGGUCACAUUCCAAAGGGGGGUGUAUUCGACAACUUAAGGUCAGCAGAUUUACAGGGAAAUCCAUCUCUAUGUGGAACAGAGUUUCUCAGUCCAUGCAGCAUCAAAAGAAACCAAACAAGUUCUCAUGGGUUUUCCAAGAAAACCUGGAUCAUACUUGGGCCUGUUUUGGUUCUCAUUCUUUAUGUGGUGGGAAUAUUUUUGUAUCAUCUGUAUAUGAAGAAGCAAAAAGUGAAAGACACGGAAGAUAUAAUUCCAAAUUAUACCUCAGCACUUAGCCUCCAGAGAUUUUAUCAAAAGGAUUUGGAACAUGCUACUGAUAAUUUCAGUCCACAAAACAUUAUUGGAGCCAGCAGUUUAAGUAAUGUGUACAAAGGAACACUGGAAAGUGGGAAGAUUGUAGCAGUUAAGAAACUGAAUCUCCAGUUCUCAGCAGAAAUUCGUAAAUGCUUUGAUAGGGAGGUCAAGACUCUGAGCCAACUCAAACACAGGAACCUGGUUAAGGUGCUCGGUUAUGCUUGGGAAAGCAAGAAGCUAAUGGCUGUAAUUUUAGAAUACAUGGAGAAUGGGAACUUGGACAGUUUUAUUUAUGGUCAAAUGGCGGAUGAAUGGACAUUGUCCAAUAGGAUAGACAUUUUAGUUUCAGUAGCAAGUGGGCUGUCAUACCUGCAUUCAGGAUAUGAUUUUCCAAUAGUGCACUGUGACUUGAAGCCUUCAAAUAUUCUUCUGGAUAAAAAUAUGGAAGCACAUGUGAGUGACUUUGGGACAGCUAGGAUGUUGGGUAUUCAUCACCAAGAUGGGAGCAGCAUAUCAUCAGCAUCUGCAUUUGAAGGAACUAUUGGUUACAUGGCACCAGGUAAUAAUUAUUACAACAUCACUUCUGUAAAUCACAAUACACAGCUUAGCAGAUUUUCUUUUCCCGUCAAUCACAAAAUAAUGAUUAAUUUGUAUGUGGAAGAAUGGACAAGCAUUUAAGUGAUCCAAUGUUUUGAACAUAUAAUCUGAAAAGUAUUUUUUAAUGAUAAUACCAACUUUAGUCUAACCAGAAAAUGCUAGUGUCAGCUUUAGAAUUUUGAAUUUCUUGAACAUUUUACAUGCUCCUUAUUUAAUUUGAGACCUAACUCAAAUGAAAUGUUUUUCUAUGAAACAGAGUUUGCAUAUAUGAGGAAAGUGACCACAAAAGUAGAUGUAUUCAGCUUUGGUGUAAUUGUGAUGGAGAUCAUUACAAAAAGAAGGCCAACAAGUCUAACAGGUGCAGAUAAAUUACCAAUGACUUUGAAUCAAGUUGUUCAGAAUGCCCUUGCGAAUGGCAUAAGCAAGCUGGUCCAGAUUGUGGAUCCUAAUUUAGCUUCACAUGUCUCCAAGAACCAGGAGAUAGUAGAGGGACUUCUUAACUUGGCUUUAUCCUGCACCUCUCCGGAUCCUGAAGAUAGACCUGACAUGGAACAAGUUCUGUCUUCUCUUUCAAAGCUAAGUAAGAUGGAGAGCAUGCAUUCACACGCUUGUUUGGUAUCAUCAUUCUUAAUAUGAACCACCACCAAGUUUCCCUCGGUGGCCAAUGGAACUAGUCCACAACUGAAAAUGUAAUUACAAUUUAAAUAGAACUUACGUUUUUCAAGCCAUAAUUAUCUUUCAGGUAUUCCUGCUUUACUAGAGGGGUAUGGUUGAACUCUCACAUUAGAUUAAGUUAAAGUUGACUUGCAUCAUGAAAUUGAAGAACUCUGUACAUUAAUUACAACUAAGGAACAAAAAGCUAGAUCUUUACGAAGUACUCCAGUGACGUGUAAUAGUCAGCGAGCAGUUGAUUGCUAGACUAAAGUGCCAAUGCAUUCUGUUACUAGAGAUUGCCUACAGGAAAUGAGUACACUUUUGAACACGAAUAUAUAGAAGUGAAAUUGAGGAGAACUCAAAAAGAGGCCUUAAUAAGACUACAAUGAUACAUCAUAUUUUACCUUAAAAUAUGCAUUUUAGAAAUUUAUUUACUAUGCAAGAACUCAUCAAUGUAAGAGGGAAACUCAAAGCUUCCAAAACCAUCAAAAAUCUCCUAAGGAAUAAGAGCAGCUUUGCCUAAAGGCAGAUGAGCUAACCUAAAUGAUUCUCUUCGCUCUCCAGUACCCUUAUCCAGAAAAUGCUCAAUCCAACCUUCUAAUCUCUCCACUUCUUCUUCACUUUUUGCCCCCUUAACCCCAACAAUCUUUCCAUAAAAUGCAUCAUCACAGCCCAAAUCCACUUCCACCCUUUUGGAUCCUUCCCUUUUACCCUCCGAUAAACACAAUAGCUGCAUCAUCAGUUUACCCUCAUCAACCCCAUUACCACUAGCUUCAACUAUACCAACACUUUCUUGGGCAAGUGAGGAAUUAGAGAGAAAUUGAAGUGGGGUUUCACUUUCUUUAAGGUUUGUGUAUCUGGUGAUGGAGUCAGCAGGGGUCUCAUCACAGUUGAGGUAUAAUGGGCUGAUCAAAGACUGGUCGGUGUCUCAACGGCUUCUCGUUGAGAUGGGUCGUCAAGUUUCAAUCUUUUCUCCAAUUGUUUGAGAGAUGAGAAGAAAUUGGAAUGUGGAGAAGGUCUUUGCAUUAUUUUUUUAGUGAAUCAGAACUUGAAUUGAGUUUUUAGUUAUGGAAGGUUGAAGAAUGGAAAGGAAAAAAGAGCGCCAACUGCUGCAAAGGACAAUUUAAUCACUUUUGUUUGAAAUUUUACGCCGAUUUGGGAUUUCUGGGUAUGUUAUUUAAGGUAUUUUCUGAAUUAAUCCAUAUUCUCAAUGUUUAAAGAGCUUUGAUAUCCAGGGUCAGAUCCAGAGGUUCUGGUACGGGUUUACGAGAACCAAAUAACUUUUGCUUAUAUUCUGUAUGUGUUAAAAAUCUGAUUGUGAAUAGAAUUAUCAUUGAUUUAAAAGGUUCUAGGAUGACCUUUCAAUACAAGUGACUUUCCUUGUGCAUGUUUAUAGCUUGGAUCAUAUAGUUGCUAAUAAGAGUAUCCGAAAAAUGGAACAGGGAGAGAACAUAGCUACUGAAGUUUUGUGGAAAGUGUAUUCAUUUGUUUGCGUGAAACCAUGCAGUACAAAUGCUGAUAAGAGUAAAAAUAUAUUCAGAAAGGAGAAAAAGGAAUGUGUAAUAUAGCCACAUAGGUAUAACAUUGAGGAUAUAGACAAAUGAUUUCUCACAUGAUCACUCAACUAAUAUGUUAGCCAUUAUCUCAUAAAGUCACCUUAUUCUUGAUUCUAAUUUGUUUUUAACAAGAGUGACUUCUGAGAUAAUAACUAUCAGUUGAGUGACACUUUGAAGGAAACCAAAUUGCAGUAGAAUUAUCUGUUGUUCAACUGGUGGAUCACAAUUUGAUAGCAUUAGCAUUUCCUGCUCAUUUGGCAAAUUAAAGUCCAAUACCAAUAACCACGACUCUGUUUCAUUUAGAUACAUUAUGCUUUGAAAAAUCUAGUCCGAAUUUAGAUUUUUCCCAAUCAGGAGUUGGCAUGUAUGGUGGUGGAUUUUUGAAACAUUUACUUGGCCAGAAUAUGUUGUAUAAAGCACUGUUAUGUUCACAUGUGUCUGUUUGCCUAGGCGUAGGACCACUUGUAUGAGUGGUUGAGAAUAUGCCUGCUACUAGAAAAAUAGAAAUUAGUAAUGGACAAAUUUCGUAGUUAAACGACAAGUGAGCAAUUUAACGAUGAAGUUCAUAACCAGUAGAAGUUUUUUUUUUUAUAGAACGAUGAAAAUGAACUAACAUAACGGUUCAUUUUUCCCCUUAUUCCUUUCUAUUUUACACAGAGAAGGGAUUCGGGCUGUAAUUACUUCAAAAUGCCUGUAAUAGUGGUGUUGUCUUUUACCCUGCUGGAAGAAAAAUAUAUAAAGAAUGUCCUAAUGGAAAAAAGUAGAAGAUACUUUAAUGUAAGCUCAACAACAAAGACAGAGAGAAAUCUUUGUAGCCACAGAACAUUGGUUGGUCCCCCAAGUAAAAAUCUUGGAAGAUUUUUGGAUUUGUGAUUGCCAAGUGUGAAUGGAGAGUAAUCUUGACAUCCAAUGAGAUCAUAGAUAUAGAUAUCACUAGAUAAGGACUCUUCCCUAUCUUACUUACUAUAUAUAGUGAAGUUUCAAUAACUUCAGCUCAUCACAACUAACUUUUACAUAUCAAACUAGCAACCCCCUCACUUUCCUCUCUUUAUAAACCAUGGCAGCUGCUACAAUGGCUCUUUCUUCCCCUUCUUUUGCUGGACAGGCAGUGAAACUCUCACCCUCUGCCUCAGAAAUCACUGGAAAUGGAAGGAUCACUAUGAGAAAGGCUGUCGCCAAGUCUGCCCCAUCUAGCAGCCCAUGGUAUGGCCCUGACCGUGUUAAGUACUUGGGCCCAUUCUCUGGUGAGUCCCCAAGCUACUUGACCGGUGAAUUCCCUGGUGACUACGGACCGUGUUAAGUACUUGGGCCCAUUCUCUGGUGAGUCCCCAAGCUACUUGACUGGCGAAUUCCCUGGUGACUAUGGAUGGGAUACCGCUGGACUUUCAGCAGACCCUGAGACCUUUGCCAAGAACCGUGAACUUGAGGUGAUCCACUGCAGAUGGGCUAUGCUUGGUGCUCUUGGAUGUGUCUUCCCUGAGCUAUUGGCCCGUAAUGGUGUCAAGUUCGGUGAGGCUGUGUGGUUCAAGGCCGGAUCCCAGAUCUUCAGCGAGGGUGGACUUGACUACUUGGGCAACCCAAGCUUGGUCCAUGCACAGAGCAUCUUGGCCAUCUGGGCUUGCCAAGUUGUCUUGAUGGGAGCCGUUGAAGGUUACCGUAUUGCUGGUGGACCUCUUGGUGAGGUUGUCGACCCACUCUACCCUGGUGGCAGCUUUGACCCAUUAGGCCUUGCUGAAGACCCAGAGGCAUUUGCUGAGCUCAAAGUAAAGGAGAUUAAGAACGGCAGACUUGCUAUGUUCUCUAUGUUUGGAUUCUUCGUUCAGGCCAUUGUUACCGGAAAGGGUCCAUUGGAGAACCUUGCUGACCACCUUGCAGACCCCGUUAACAACAACGCUUGGGCUUUCGCCACAAACUUUGUCCCCGGAAAAUGAAUAUCAUAAUAUAAUUUUUUAAUUUUGAUUGUUCGAUGGCCCUGUAAAGUAGUUGUGACUUACUUGAUAAUAGAAUGGUUCUUUUUUCCAUAUUCCAGUGAUUGUGUAGUUCUGAGUUACAUUUUCCAAAUCUACGAAUCAAAUAUUGCCACUUCCAUACCAAAGGGGAAAUUAAAGAAAGAGAACAGAGCAAAAAGACUGAAGAUACAUAUGAGAUGUGGUAACAAGAAAAACUAUAAAGCUGUUGUAAGCUUAAAACUUGAAUUUUCAGACCAGAGGAACUUAUGGAAUUCAGUUAAUUCUCGAGAAACAAUACUCAAAAUUAGUGUAAAGUACUAAUGUUGAACAACAUGAUGUUAUUACAUGAUUCCUCAUUUAUCUAUCGAAAAGUGAGAGGAAAUAAGAGGACAUUGUUUCAUUUCACUACCAGAACAUUGAGACAGGGGAAGAAAACCAAUAUGUUUUGUAGUCUGAAUGUAGUAAGUAAUAUAUGAGUUUCCAGGUCCAUACAGUAUGUCUCCUUUGAACAAAUUCAUAAAUUUCUUGUAAAAUCCUCCUGCCUCACAUGAGGUACUAUCUUUAGAUUAAAAGCAUCCUUGACAGAUCCUUCAAAACAAGGUACAUAGUAAUGACCAGAGCACAAAGGACAUACAUAUGUAGUUAGAAGAAGACACAAGUACUGCUAAAUAUGACACUUAUUGGCAACAAAUUCAAGUUCCAUGCACUAAUAACGUAAACAAUAUUUACACAAAUUACUUAGUAAGUAAUUAAAGGUAAAUCACUUGAUAACAUUAAUCGGUAGUCUGGUAAAAAAUGGGAAUUGCCUACUAUCACACGUUAAAAUUUACUGAUGUAACUUCUAUUUCCCUUAACGCAGCGCAAAAUUGUGAUGCUGAUGAAUUCCAACAAAUUAAAAUCUUUGCUCAUAUUCUUCUGAACAAGCUCUUUCCAAGGCUCAGCAUUGCUCAUGUAGUAGUUAAGUAACACGUACUAAGCCGCAUUAAAUCUCUAAACCUAACAGUAUUGUGAAUGAGCAUAAAACAAUAUAACCUGUGUGGCUAACAUAAACAACUUUGGUAAUUAAGGUCUAAUAUAAUAAAGUUUCAAUCACAUUGCUUUCCAAACAUAAAGAUGCAUUAUUAAGUUCCCAAAAUUUAUGAAUCAAGUAGUAAUAAAUUUCAACUUUUCCUCAAAUUUCCUAAACCAUAGUUCUACAUUGAAUGAAGUAUAGUGGUGGUAUGUUUUACCCUGCAGGUAGAUAAAAUCUAGAGAAAUGCCAAGUGGAUAAUGAUAGGGAUAUCAUAUUGUAAGCUCAACAAAUCACAGGGCAGAUUCCAAUCCUUGUGGCAACAUAUGAGAGGACAAUAUUGGUUGUGUCCCUUGCUGGAAAAUUGAUGGAUUGGAGAUUGCUAAAUGUGCAUAAUUGCUACAAGUAGGAUCUUGAUAGCCAAUGAGAUCAUAGAUAUAGAUUUCACUAGAUAAGGACUCUUUCCCUCUUUCUUAAUUCCUAUAUAUGGUGAAUUAAUUCCCUUGUAACUUCAUCUCAUCACAGCCUUCAACAAUAUUUCAUACCAUCAAACACUCAACACUUUUCUCUUAAUCUAAAUCAUGGCAGCUGCUACAAUGGCUCUUUCUUCCCCUUCUUUUGCUGGACAGGCAGUGAAACUUUCACCAUCUGCCUCAGAAAUUUCUGGAAAUGGAAGGAUCACUAUGAGAAAGGCUGUCGCCAAGUCUGCCCCAUCUAGCAGCCCAUGGUAUGGCCCUGACCGUGUUAAGUACUUGGGCCCAUUCUCUGGUGAGUCCCCAAGCUACUUGACUGGCGAAUUCCCUGGUGACUAUGGAUGGGAUACCGCUGGACUUUCAGCAGACCCUGAGACCUUUGCCAAGAACCGUGAACUUGAGGUGAUCCACUGCAGAUGGGCAAUGCUUGGUGCUCUUGGAUGUGUCUUCCCUGAGCUCUUGGCCCGUAACGGUGUCAAGUUCGGCGAGGCUGUGUGGUUCAAGGCCGGAUCCCAGAUCUUCAGCGAGGGUGGACUUGACUACUUGGGCAACCCAAGCUUGGUCCAUGCACAAAGCAUCUUGGCCAUUUGGGCUUGCCAAGUUGUGUUAAUGGGAGCUGUUGAGGGAUACCGUAUUGCAGGUGGACCUCUUGGUGAGGUCGUCGACCCACUCUACCCUGGCGGCAGUUUUGACCCAUUAGGUCUUGCUGAUGAUCCAGAGGCAUUUGCUGAGCUCAAAGUAAAGGAGAUUAAGAACGGCAGACUUGCUAUGUUCUCUAUGUUUGGAUUCUUCGUUCAGGCCAUUGUUACCGGAAAGGGUCCAUUGGAGAACCUUGCUGACCACCUUGCAGACCCCGUUAACAACAAUGCAUGGGCCUUUGCCACAAACUUUGUUCCCGGAAAAUGAAUAUCAUAAAACGUUCUCUAGAUAUUAUUGUUUGAUGGCUUUGUAAAGUUUUAGUUGUGAGUUUACUUGACAAUAGAAUGGAUUUUUCUUAGUCCUGAAUUUCAUUUUCCAAUGAUGAAUGAAAUACUGCAAAAUUCAUAUUGAAGGGGAAAAUUGAUGACAAAGCAAAAAUAACAAGACCAAAGUUACAUUUGAGAUGUGGUAAAAGCUUAAACCUGAAUAUACAGACCAGAGAC
rnacentral:lncRNA from 1 species